rnacentral:tmRNA from 1 species
GUAGACGUAACGGCUAAAACUCAUACAGCUCGCUCCAAGCACCCUGCCAAUCGGGCGGCGCGGAGUUAACUCAGUAGAUCUGGCUAAGCAUGUAGAACCGAUAGCGGAGAGCUGGCGGACGGGGGUUCAAAUCCCCCCGGCUCCACCA